AGUGAACGCUGGCGGUAGGCCUAACACAUGCAAGUCGAACGGCAGCACAGUAAGAGCUUGCUCUUACGGGUGGCGAGUGGCGGACGGGUGAGGAAUACAUCGGAAUCUACUUUUUCGUGGGGGAUAACGUAGGGAAACUUACGCUAAUACCGCAUACGACCUACGGGUGAAAGCAGUGGAUCUUCGGACCUUGCGCGAUUGAAUGAGCCGAUGUCGGGUUAGCUAGUUGGCGGGGUAAAGGCCCACCAAGGCGACGAUCCGUAGCUGGUCUGAGAGGAUGAUCAGCCACACUGGAACUGAGACACGGUCCAGACUCCUACGGGAGGCAGCAGUGGGGAAUAUUGGACAAUGGGGGCAAGCCUGAUCCAGCAAUACCGCGUGGGUGAAGAAGGCCUUCGGGUUGUAAAGCCCUUUUGUUGGGAAAGAAAAGCAGCAGGUUAAUACCCCGCUGUUCUGACGGUACCCAAAGAAUAAGCACCGGCUAACUUCGUG
rnacentral:rRNA from 1 species